rnacentral:rRNA from 1 species
UACGUAGGGUGCAAGCGUUGUCCGGAAUUAUUGGGCGUAAAGAGCUCGUAGGCGGUCUGUCGCGUCUGCUGUGAAAAUCCGAGGCUCAACCUCGGACUUGCAGUGGGUACGGGCAGACUAGAGUGUGGUAGGGGAGACUGGAAUUCCUGGUGUAGCGGUGGAAUGCGCAGAUAUCAGGAGGAACACCGAUGGCGAAGGCAGGUCUCUGGGCCAUUACUGACACUGAGAAGCGAAAGCAUGGGGAGCGAACAGG